UCGCGGCGCGGGCGGCGCGGCCGGGGCUGUGACCCAGCAGCUCGCGCGGUGGCGCGCCGGGCCCUGCGGUCGUCGGCCCCGCCCGCACCCCCGGCCCCGGCGCCCCUGGCCCUGCGCGCCCUCGGCUGUCGGGGAAGCCGGGAUCCCGGAGCCGAGUUUGCACCUUUCUUGGGAAGAUCUCGCAUCGCCGGGGUCGCUUCCGCGCGGAAGAAGCGAAGGCUCCCUGUCCUGAGGAUGGGGCUAUAAGGUAAUGUUGGACCUGAAGCAAGAGAUGGGCGUGUAUCACACAACCAAAUUACAGUGGUGGGCACCACGGGUUCUUCCAGCAUGCAGUAUCUUCAGGAAGCAGGGGAGUUGUCCGCAGACAGAGAGAAAGCCACUCAGGACUUUGCACGACAGCAGCUUUACUUGCAGGAAUGAGAUAACAUCCUAAAGCAGGAUGGAACGGCACCAGAAAUACCAUAUGGACCAGUAAAUCAGCACCUUCCUGCCUUAAAGGACAAAGGCCUGAGAUGCCUAGAUGAUCAGCAAAGAGAGGAGGACCAGGUCUCUGCCAUCACAUUAUAUCAAUAUCAAAACCCGCACUGUGGUUAAGGACACAGCUGAUGCAUCACUGGAGCUGGGAAAAAAGGAUGCUUGACCCAGAGGUAACAGAAUGCACUGACCAAACAAGAAUGAAGCAGGUGACCAUUACUCAAUUUUAAUGAAGGCUGUCAUGAUUACUCAGUUUUCUUUAAUUAUUUUCUCUUUUUCUCUUGACCCUAGCCCUUUCUUUUUCUGUUUUGGCUAUAAAAGCCUGAGUCCCCUUUCUCAUUUCUAACUGGUCUUGGAAAGAUUUCCUCCAGUUCCUUGUGUGUGCACUUAACAAUAAAACUCACCUUCUCACCAAGAGACUUAUUUCUCUGUUUGGUGUGGGAUCAGGUGGGCCAAACUAUUGAAAACUGUGUUUUUUAACAGUAUCACCCUCAAACUCCUAGCUUCAGCCAUAUUAAACUUCUUUCAGUUUUCUGAAAAUGCCUUGCUCUCUUUUCCCUCCAGCUUUUAAUAGAUAAUAUUCCCACAUUCUAGAGGGAUUCUCAAGCACAACCCAUUCUGCUCCCAUCCCCACCCCUGGGCUAAUUUGGCAUACAAUCCUUCACUUCCUCCAGGGGGUCUAUUCUGAAUCCCCAGACAGGGGUAGGUUUUCCUCCUAAGUGCUUUCAUAAAACCCUGUACUUCUCCUAUUGUGACCCUGGCAACACUGUAUUGGAACUGACUGAUUACUUGCUUAUCGUCCCCAUUAGACUAAGUUUAGUGAAGGAACAGAUUGAACCCACUUGCCUUGCUUACCAUUGUAUAUCACUGUGCCUGCCAUAUCAUGGGUAAUAAAUAAUUAUU